GAUAAACGCUGGCGGCGUGCCUAAUACAUGCAAGUUGAGCGGUAAGGUUCUGCACCCACUAUUUGACCAGAUGAGUCUUUCGCAAGAGAGAUACUAUCUGCAGCGAUAAUCUCUGGCUGAGAUUAUAGUCGAAUGAUGAGUGUAGAAUACACGAGCGGCGGACGGCAGAGUAACGCGUAGGAACGUACCCCAAACAGAGGCAUAAGCACCGGAAACGGUGUCUAAUACCGCAUAAUAUCUUCGGAUUAAAGCUUCGGCGGUUUGGGAGCGGCCUGCGUAUGAUUAGCUAGUUGGUGAGGUAAUAGCUCACCAAGGCGACGAUCAUUAGCUGGUCUGAGAGGAUGAUCAGCCU
rnacentral:rRNA from 1 species